AUGGCGUAACAGCUUCCUAACUUGGAUCACAGGCUGGAGGGCGUGCCUAGCGUCAUAGGCACCCCCCCUGACCCGAUCCCAUUGCAUGCACGAUUCCGUGAUUUCAAUCUUUACUUAUUUUUGUAACAUCUGAACUUUGUUUACAUCAGAACUUUGUUUACUUUAGAACUUUGUUUACGUUAGAACUUUGUUUACGUUAGAACUUUGUUCCGACGUAGACAAAUAAGACAAAUAGGCACCCGCGUGAAAGGGUUAAACAACAUUAGAGACUUGAUAUUCUGUUUUCUGUGCUCCACCUACCAUUUCUUAAUCUCUAUCCUUCCCUUAUAUAAACAAUUUAUAAAUCACAAAAUUCACAUAAGCAUAGUCUAUCUGCUACCACAUUACAAUGAACAUGGAUUUCUCCGCAGGUUGGACACUUGUCUUUGUUAUAUUAACGUCUUUACUCAUCUUUUUCUUGAGUUUCAAGACAAUUUGCAAGAGGGGGAAUCUCCCCCCUGGACCCACUCCACUACCAAUAUUGGGGAAUAUUCUUCAGCUGAAAGGAGGGGAAAUGGCAAAAUGCGUAUUAGAGUUGAGAAAAAAAUAUGGCGAUCUAUUCACGGUCUACUUUGGGUCACGCCCAGUGGUGAUUGUAUCUGGAUACAAGAUGGUAAAAGAGAUCCUGGUAGAGAGAGGGGAUGAAUUUCUGGCACGAGGAGAUAUGCCUACCUUUGACACAUACUACAAAAAUUAUGGGUUUGCAUUUACUAAUGACAUGAACAGGUGGAAAGAUUUACGGCGUUUCUCGCUUAUUACUCUUCGGGACUUCGGCAUGGGAAAAAGAAGUGUAGAAGACCGAAUAAUCGACGAGGCGAGAUGUUUGGUUGUUGAAUUAAAGAAUACAAAAGAAUCUUUUCUUAAUCCCCGUCAGUUCUUCAACCAGGCAGCGUGCAACAUCAUCUUUUCUAUAAUGUUUGGUAACCGAUGUGAUUACGAGAAUGAAGACCUUAAUGCAGUUUUAACCUAUAUUUAUGAAACGUUUGUACUCAUAAGCUCGAUUUGGGGGCAGAUUUUUGAUAUGUUCCCGAGACUUAUGCGCAUUCUUCCAGGGCCUCACACAAAGAUUCUUAGUCACCUGGAAAAGCUUCUGAAGUUUGUAGAGAAAAAGGUUAAAAUUAACCAGGAGACUCUGGAUCCAAAUAACCCAAGGGACUAUGUUGAUGUUUUUCUUAUUAAACUAGAGAAGGAAAAAAAUGACCCACAUACUGAUUUUAACAUGACCAAUUUGAUAUGCAGCACCCUACAGAUUUUCUUUGCUGGAGUAGAGACCAUUAGUACUACACUUACAUAUUCUUUAUUGAUCCUCAUGAAAUACCCAAAGAUUUUAGCUAAUGUCCAGGAUGAGAUUGACAAAGUCAUUGGCCAAAAUCGUGUCCCAAAACUGCAGGACAGGAAUCAGAUGCCAUACACUGAAGCUGUGAUCCAUGAGAUUCAAAGAUACAUUGAUCUCAUUCCAAUGGGUGCUCCAAGGAAGACUACUCAAGAUGUGCAAUUUAAAGGAUACACCCUACCUAAGGGCACAAAUGUGUUUCCUAUGCUUGGCUCUGUGCUGAGAGACCCGGCCUGCUUCCCGUACCCUACAGAAUUCAAUCCACAAAAUUUUCUGACACAAAAUGGUGACUUCCAAAAGAAUGAUGCUUUCAUGCCUCUGUCUGCAGCUAUAUGUUGUGCAAUGAAGAGGCACAAGCAGAUCUGCCCACCAUUAAACAACAUGCUGCGCCAUUUACUGGAUGCAAGUGAUUAAGAUCAUUGCAUGGCACAUUAACUGCUUAUUUGAGGCAGUCCUAUUUCGGCUGAACCAAUCCAGCGAGAGGCAUUAGAAAACGAAUCUGUGUCGGGGAAGCCUUGGUCCGCACGGAACUCUUCCUAUUCUUUGUCACUAUCCUACAAAACUUUGACCUGAAGUCUCCUGUCCCAAGAGAGGAGUUAGACAUUACUCCAGAAGUGUCUGGACUGGGAAAUUUCCCCAAACCUUACAAAGUAGCUUUAAUUUCUCGUUAAUUGGUGAUAAAUGAAAUUCUAACAUUGUAA